rnacentral:lncRNA from 1 species
UCUAUGAUGUGUAGGGCCACCAUGGCAGUUGCAUCUUCAUGUUGGAAGCUUCUCCGAGUAACAAACCGAGCACACGGUCCGCCUGAAAUCCCACCAACGUCACCCUCAAUCGAACUUCUUCGUGGAGUAUAAGAGAGACAUCGGGGACCCUUCGACCCUCAUCCAUCUCGCCCAAGUGCCACGGAACCGUGAGUGGGGGAUAGGAUUUCCUGCGGUGGUGACCACGGACCGCCGACGUGAUUCUCUGCCAUCGAUGGGACUUGGAACGCAGGAUUGAGCCAUGUGUUCGCCGAGGCACCCCGUGUGUGUUGGUGGGCUUCUCGGGCAUGGACAUCAACCAGGAUCGAGGGAAUUCCUCACCGGCGUUCGAGACUCACCGUGGGUAGGAGUCCCUGGGUCGCCAUACCUGGUGAGAUUCUCCUCAUAUAGUUGUUGUAGUCUGCUUCGCGUAGCAUUGAAUAGUUGGGCCUUUUGGACUCUUGAGUGACUAAUGGCCGCUGGCCAGCGAGGGCGAUGCCGCCCUGGGCGCUCGUGCCACCAUGGUUCAUGUCCAGGGAAAGAAGGAGACCUAGGAAGUGUCGGAUCUGACGAAGGGUUGAGAUUUGAACAUGUGAAACACUUCGUUCAGUUAAACUGUGGUCGUGGAUCCUUGAUCUAAGGGCUAGUACGUCUUGCAAGUCUAGUGGAUCCUUAGUCGUCGAUUGGAGAUCCGAUGUUCAAGAUUUCAUACCGGUUUAAUGAGGUAAUGGUCUAAUCCAACCGAUGAUCCUUAAUUGUCGAUUGGAAAGCAGUAGACCGAAGAACCAACGGGCCACAUGUGAAGAUACCCCUUCGUGUGGCAUGUUUGCUAGAGAGUCCCCGUGUAUUUACAAAAUAAACCCACCUUCCAUUAGUCGAUUAAAAUUAAUGAAAAUAAAUCAGGAUUUUGCAGUUUAGCCCCUAGAAGUUAUUUUUAGGUAUAAAUUAAUACCAAAUAAUAUAGAACUUCUAUAAUCCAUAUCUUACACAUUUUAACUUUGAUUUGAUCCGUUCCAGUUGCGUUAGCUUUAUAAUAAAAUUGCCUAUACAGUACCAAUAUUGUUUUAUCAUAGAUAUUUGUUUUAACUAUGUUUAGGAGAUUUAUCUUUCUAAUUAAAAUUAAUCUGUCUAUAGUUAUAAACUGACUAAAAUAUAAUACAUAAGUUUGCUACAACCUAGACUGAAGUUGAAUUAUUUAUUUCAUUGUAAUAUGUUUCUCACAUGAUUUAUAACAUAGAAUAUGUUUUUAUCAUUUAAUCACCUAAAACUUUAGAAAACUAUAUCUUCUGAACCAUAACUCCGAUUUUAGUCGUUCUCGAACCUACGAUCUCAUAGCAGCACAUAGAAUAUUCUUACGCUGCUUAUUCAUAUGCUUUGGUGUAAUGUUAUCAUAUCCAUUAUUGUUUGAUUGUAUGUAUUGCUACGAGUAGAGGCGAGGUGACGAGAAAUCUGAAGACUAACUUGGUGAAGUACCUGGAAUCGCAAGUAUAAAGCAAGUUGUGCCCAUGAUCACUCUCCUUUACCUAAUAAUGUUCUUGUUAAUCACUGUGAUAUGCUCAGGUUAAUUUGAUGGGACCUAAUAGUUUACCCUAUUUUUGGUUCACCCUACACCUUGCAAACAAAUGAACUAUUGGGUAGACUUGCUAUUGCUCUACCUAGUUUUUGGGAUUAAUGUUAUAUCUAAAUUAUGAUCAUAUCCUAUUAUUACUGUUGGUUUAAUUAUUGCUCAUGAUAAGAUUAUUGUGAUAAUUGGAACAUGGAGAACCACCUAUGAAAACAUUGCUACCACAAGGGUGGAAUAGGACGCCCUUGGUCAAGCAAUUAGGAAAGCUAGGGAGAGAUCACAAGACGGGUAGGAAGCGGGGAGUGCGUCACUGCAAAGUAUAGGGAGGUCCUUGGGUUGGACUGUCUGUAAAGAUUUUCGGACGAGGGAUUCCUAUGCUUCCUACUUCCUGAAAGCGUAGCGGGUUUUCUGGAACUAGUGGAACUUUGGAAAGGCCUCGCAGUGGAUCCCUAGCCAUUCACCUUGGAAUUGUCUAAGUGUCUAGCUAAUCCAAGCUAAACGGGAAACACGUCUUGUGGGUAAAGAUGUGUAACCUCUAUGGAGUGUAAAACUGGUAUAUCAGUCGUGCUCACAGUCAUGAGUGGCUCGGACACUCACAUGAGUAACUUAUGAAAACUAACUUAAUAUGUCAUUUGUAUUGCAUUAUGGGAUUUAUUAUUAAUUGUGAUUUCUUAUUUAAUGGGGAUGGUAUCUACUUAUACUUAGUAACUGCUAAUAAAAUUUUUACCAACUUGUUAAAAGCAAUGCUCAGCCUUAACCAUCCUCUUUGGUAAGCCUUACACUUCACAUGAGCCCUCGCCAUAAGUGAGCUCAUGCACAUUAUUCCCCACAACUUGUUGAGCGAUGAAUAUAUGUGAGCUCACUCUUGCUGUACUCACCCCCAGGUCAAGAACAAGUACCGCCAGAUGAGGAGCAGCAAGGAUGUCGCGAUGAGUUCAUGAGAGGUCUAGGUCGUCGUCUCCUAGUCAACAAUGGAUGUGGUGGAUCGUUGUCUUCUUAUGAUGUAAUAACUUAGCUAUUUUCUCUUCUAAAGACAAAAGAGGAUUUCACACCUUGGAUCAUGUACCUAAAGUGACCCUUAGGAAUAGUACCCCUAAUCCUAGGAAUAAAAAAUUAUCAUUUUUGUAUGUAUCUAUGCGCCUGAAUGCCUGUUCUUAUGAACCUUGUUUGAUUUGGUUCUUUGAUU